rnacentral:tRNA from 1 species
UCAGUUAUAGCAUAAUACUUAAUUAAUGCAGAAAGCUUAAGACUUUCAGAUUAAACUACUGAA